rnacentral:rRNA from 1 species
GACGAACGCUGGCGGCGUGCUUAACACAUGCAAGUCGAACGGAAAGGCCCUGCUUUUGUCGGGUGCUCGAGUGGCGAACGGGUGAGUAACACGUGAGUAACCUGCCCUUGACUUUGGGAUAACUUCAGGUAACUGGGGCUAAUACCGGAUAGGAGCUCCUGCUGCAUGGUGGGGGUUGGAAAGUUUCGGCGGUUGGGGAUGGACUCGCGGCUUAUCAGCUUGUUGGUGGGGUAGUGGCUUACCAAGGCUUUGACGGGUAGCCGGCCUGAGAGGGUGACCGGCCACCUUGGGACUGAGAUACGGCCCAGACUCCUACGGGAGGCAGCAGUGGGGAAUAUUGCACAAUGGGCGGAAGCCUGAUGCAGCAACGCCGCGUGCGGGAUGACGGCCUUCGGGUUGUAAACCGCUUUCGCCUGUGACGAAGCGUGAGUGACGGUAAUGGGUAAAGAAGCACCGGCUAACUACGUG